UCCUCGUGUCGCAGCAUCCCCUUACGGCACCAGCCUGUGCCGGGGAAAGUUACGUAAGCUCCACCGAUAUAUAUACGUGUCAUACUGGGCAAUGCAUUAUACAGCAGACUGCCAUCCAACACUGCAUUUACAUCCUAUCAGGUCAAUCCAGCAGUAAAAGAUGAAAACUACAUUCGUGAUCGUCUUAGCCUUUGUGCUCCUGAUGGGAUCCUCCGCCCUGGUAUGUGAUGAGUGCAUGCAGAAGUUCCGCACGUGCCUGCCCCACUGUCAAGGGAUCGCAGUCACUAAUCGGUGUUAUUGUACCCGUAUAUGUUACAAGGCGGCACUCCUUUGUACCAGCACAUGCGCUAAUGUGGUUGGAUUCGCAGCCCUCAUUGGGGAGAUUGACGACUAGUUAUAGUAUCUUUGUGUUAUGUACACACACUUGUUUCAUUUAUGCUUCAAAAAAUAUCAAUCAAUUAAUAAAACAAAGUGUUCCUUCCAAACCUU